rnacentral:rRNA from 1 species
UACAGAGGUCCCAAGCGUUGUUCGGAUUCACUGGGCGUAAAGGGUGCGUAGGCGGUCGGGUAAGUCUGAUGUGAAAUCUCACAGCUUAACUGUGAAACUGCAUUGGAUACUAUCCGGCUCGAGGAAUGGAGGGGAGACUGGAAUACUUGGUGUAGCAGUGAAAUGCGUAGAUAUCGAGAGGAACACCAGAGGUGAAGACGGGUUGCUGGGCCGACACUGACGCUGACAGCGCGAAAGCCAGGGGAGCAAACGGG